rnacentral:rRNA from 1 species
GAUGAACGCUGGCGGCGUGCCUAAUACAUGCAAGUCGAGCGAACAGACGAGGAGCUUGCUCCUCUGACGUUAGCGGCGGACGGGUGAGUAACACGUGGAUAACCUACCUAUAAGACUGGGAUAACUUCGGGAAACCGGAGCUAAUACCGGAUAAUAUAUUGAACCGCAUGGUUCAAUAGUGAAAGACGGUUUUUGUGUCACUUAUAGAUGGAUCCGCGCCGCAUUAGCUAGUUGGUAAGGUAACGGCUUACCAAGGCAACGAUGCAUAGCCGACAUAAGAGGGAAGUCAGCCAAAUCAGAGCUGAAACACGGUGCAUACUCCUACGGGAGGCAGCAGUAGGGAAUCUUCCGCAAUGGGCGGAAGCCUGACGGAGCAGCGCGGCGUGAGUCAUGAAGUUCUUCGGAUCGUAAAACUCUGUUAUUAGGGAAGAACAAAUGUGUAAGUAACUAUGCGCGUCUUGACGGUACCUAAUCAGAAAGCCACGGCUAACUACGUG